AAAGGUAGAGGCGCACCCUAUAAGAGUACCGCACAUCACCGGCAGCCAAUGCCGUGCGGGAAAGGCGUGGGUGCCGAAGCGGAUGCCGUGGCGGGUAUUCCGGCUGGCAAUUCGGAUAAGAUCCGUCUUGUUGUCGCAGAAAUGCGGAGAGCUAUCCG
rnacentral:ncRNA from 1 species